CUUUCUGUAAAUCUGCCUUUCCAAUAAAAAUGAAUACAUCUUUUUUUUUUUUUUUUUUUUUUUUUUUAAGAAUAGGACUAGUGAAGAAUAAUGUAGGUUGGAGGUCCAAUGAUUAGGAUAUAUAGGGACUUGAACGCCAAAUUAAAGAGGAUGGACUUUACUCAACCAAGCAAUCAGGAGCUAUUGAAAAUUUAUGGACUUUUCAAACUGGUUUAUUGUGAUCUAGUUCACCCAUUUAAAAUGUGCGAUUGAGUGGUCUUUAAUAUGUUCACAGUUUUGCAGUUUUAAGGAAUACUGGUCAGUUGCUGUGCAGAGAACUCCACAUUUGGCUUCUGUGAUGUUUUUUCAUGUUACAUUGAAAUGCUGCUGAACAGCCAGGAGAGCACAGGAUCUGUGGUACAUGGUCAUUGUUUCCAGGGGUUACAAGAUGAUGGUGUUAUCCCUGCUAAUGGUAACCUUGACUCCGGUGAUACCUGCCAGAUUUAUCCGCUGUUAAAUUAGUUUUAACCUUUGUA